ACGCACGCUGGCGGCGUGCUUAACACCUGCAAGUCGAACGGAAAGGCCCUGCUUUUGUGGGGUGCUCGAGUGGCGAACGGGUGAGUAACACGUGAGUAACCUGCCCUUGACUUUGGGAUAACUUCAGGAAACUGGGGCUAAUACCGGAUAGGAGCUCCUGCUGCAUGGUGGGGGUUGGAAAGUUUCGGCGGUUGGGGAUGGACUCGCGGCUUAUCAGCUUGUUGGUGGGGUAGUGGCUUACCAAGGCUUUGACGGGUAGCCGGCCUGAGAGGGUGACCGGCCACAUUGGGACUGAGAUACGGCCCAGACUCCUGCGGGAGGCAGCAGUGGGGAAUAUUGCACAAUGGGCGGAAGCCUGAUGCAGCAACGCCGCGUGCGGGAUGACGGCCUUCGGGUUGUAAACCGCUUUCGCCUGUGACGAAGCGUGAGUGACGGUAAUGGGUAAAGAAGCACCGGCUAACUACGUG
rnacentral:rRNA from 1 species